GAGCACGUAGGUGGGUUUGUAAGUCAGGUGUGAAAGCCUUCUGUUCAAAGGAAGAACGGCAUCUGAAACUGCAGAUCUUGAGUGUAGGAGGGGAGAGUGGAACUUCUGGUGGAGCGGUGAAAUGCGUAGAUAUCAGAAGGAACGUCGGCGGCGAAAGCGACUCUCUGGCCUAUUACUGACACUGAGGUGCGAAAGUUAGGGGAGCAAACGGGAUUAGAUACCCCGGUAGUCCUAACCGUAAACGAUGGGCACUAAGUAGAGGGAAUUACCAAUGUUCUCUCUGCCGUAGCUAACGCAUUAAGUGCCCCGCCUGGGGAGUACGGCCGCAAGGCUAAAACUCAAAAGAAUUGACGGGGGCUCGCACAAGCGGUGGAGCAUGUGGCUUAAUUCGAUGCAACGCGAAAAACCUUACCGGGGUUUGACAUGGUAGAAGUAGGAGCCCGAAAGGGCAACCAACGGUAUCCAGUCCGUAGCUAUUACAGGUGUUGCAUGGCUGUCGUCAGCUCGUGUCGUGAGACGUUGGGUUAAGUCCCCUAACGAGCGAAACCCUUGUUUUUAGUUACCAUCGGGUAGUGCCGGGUACUCUAAAAAGACUGCCGUCGUCAAGACGGAGGAAGGUGGGGAUGACGUCAAGUCAUCAUGGCCCUUAUACCCCGGGCUGCACACGUGCUACAAUGGUCGGUACAAAAGGAAGCAAGACCGAGAGGUGAAGCGAAUCC
rnacentral:rRNA from 1 species